rnacentral:rRNA from 1 species
UACGAGGGGGGCAAAUGUUGUUCGGAAUCACUGGGCGUAAAGGGAGCGUAGGCGGGUUUCUAAGUCAGGUGUUUAAUCCCGGGGCCCAACCCCGGACAGGCACUUGAAACUGGGAAUCUUGAAUAGUGGAGAGGUCAGUGGAAUUGGGGGUGUAGCGGUGGAAUGCGUAGAUAUCGUGAGGAAGACCAGUGGCGAAGGCGGGUCUCUGGACAGUUCCUGACACUGAGGCACGAAGGCCAGGGGAGCAAACGGG